GAUUAAGUUAUUAAGGGCGCACGGUGGAUGCCUUGGCACUAGAAGCCGAUGAAGGACGUUACUAACGACGAUAUGCUUUGGGGAGCUGUAAGUAAGCUUUGAUCCAGAGAUUUCCGAAUGGGGAAACCCAGCAUGAGUUAUGUCAUGUUAUCGAUAUGUGAAUACAUAGCAUAUCAGAAGGCACACCCGGAGAACUGAAACAUCUUAGUACCCGGAGGAAGAGAAAGAAAAUUCGAUUCCCUUAGUAGCGGCGAGCGAAACGGGAAGAGCCCAAACCAACAAGCUUGCUUGUUGGGGUUGUAGGACACUCUAUACGGAGUUACAAAGGACGACAUUAGACGAAUCAUCUGGAAAGAUGAAUCAAAGAAGGUGAUAAUCCUGUAGUCGAAAAUGUUGUCUCUCUUGAGUGGAUCCUGAGUACGACGGAGCACGUGAAAUUCCGUCGGAAUCUGGGAGGACCAUCUCCUAAGGCUAAAUACUCUCUAGUGACCGAUAGUGAACCAGUACCGUGAGGGAAAGGUGAAAAGCACCCCGGAAGGGGAGUGAAAUAGAACCUGAAACCGUGUGCUUACAAGUAGUCAGAGCCCGUUAAUGGGUGAUGGCGUGCCUUUUGUAGAAUGAACCGGCGAGUUACGAUUUGAUGCAAGGUUAAGCAGUAAAUGUGGAGCCGUAGCGAAAGCGAGUCUGAAUAGGGCGUUUAGUAUUUGGUCGUAGACCCGAAACCAGGUGAUCUACCCUUGGUCAGGUUGAAGUUCAGGUAACACUGAAUGGAGGACCGAACCGACUUACGUUGAAAAGUGAGCGGAUGAACUGAGGGUAGCGGAGAAAUUCCAAUCGAACCUGGAGAUAGCUGGUUCUCUCCGAAAUAGCUUUAGGGCUAGCCUCAAGUGAUGAUUAUUGGAGGUAGAGCACUGUUUGGACGAGGGGCCCCUCUCGGGUUACCGAAUUCAGACAAACUCCGAAUGCCAAUUAAUUUAACUUGGGAGUCAGAACAUGGGUGAUAAGGUCCGUGUUCGAAAGGGAAACAGCCCAGACCACCAGCUAAGGUCCCAAAAUAUAUGUUAAGUGGAAAAGGAUGUGGCGUUGCCCAGACAACUAGGAUGUUGGCUUAGAAGCAGCCAUCAUUUAAAGAGUGCGUAAUAGCUCACUAGUCGAGUGACACUGCGCCGAAAAUGUACCGGGGCUAAACAUAUUACCGAAGCUGUGGAUUGUCCUUUGGACAAUGGUAGGAGAGCGUUCUAAGGGCGUUGAAGCAUGAUCGUAAGGACAUGUGGAGCGCUUAGAAGUGAGAAUGCCGGUGUGAGUAGCGAAAGACGGGUGAGAAUCCCGUCCACCGAUUGACUAAGGUUUCCAGAGGAAGGCUCGUCCGCUCUGGGUUAGUCGGGUCCUAAGCUGAGGCCGACAGGCGUAGGCGAUGGAUAACAGGUUGAUAUUCCUGUACCACCUAUAAUCGUUUUAAUCGAUGGGGGGACGCAGUAGGAUAGGCGAAGCGUGCGAUUGGAUUGCACGUCUAAGCAGUAAGGCUGAGUAUUAGGCAAAUCCGGUACUCGUUAAGGCUGAGCUGUGAUGGGGAGAAGACAUUGUGUCUUCGAGUCGUUGAUUUCACACUGCCGAGAAAAGCCUCUAGAUAGAAAAUAGGUGCCCGUACCGCAAACCGACACAGGUAGUCAAGAUGAGAAUUCUAAGGUGAGCGAGCGAACUCUCGUUAAGGAACUCGGCAAAAUGACCCCGUAACUUCGGGAGAAGGGGUGCUCUUUAGGGUUAACGCCCAGAAGAGCCGCAGUGAAUAGGCCCAAGCGACUGUUUAUCAAAAACACAGGUCUCUGCUAAACCGUAAGGUGAUGUAUAGGGGCUGACGCCUGCCCGGUGCUGGAAGGUUAAGAGGAGUGGUUAGCUUCUGCGAAGCUACGAAUCGAAGCCCCAGUAAACGGCGGCCGUAACUAUAACGGUCCUAAGGUAGCGAAAUUCCUUGUCGGGUAAGUUCCGACCCGCACGAAAGGCGUAACGAUUUGGGCACUGUCUCAACGAGAGACUCGGUGAAAUCAUAGUACCUGUGAAGAUGCAGGUUACCCGCGACAGGACGGAAAGACCCCGUGGAGCUUUACUGUAGCCUGAUAUUGAAAUUCGGCACAGCUUGUACAGGAUAGGUAGGAGCCUUUGAAACGUGAGCGCUAGCUUACGUGGAGGCGCUGGUGGGAUACUACCCUAGCUGUGUUGGCUUUCUAACCCGCACCACUUAUCGUGGUGGGAGACAGUGUCAGGCGGGCAGUUUGACUGGGGCGGUCGCCUCCUAAAAGGUAACGGAGGCGCUCAAAGGUUCCCUCAGAAUGGUUGGAAAUCAUUCAUAGAGUGUAAAGGCAUAAGGGAGCUUGACUGCGAGACCUACAAGUCGAGCAGGGUCGAAAGACGGACUUAGUGAUCCGGUGGUUCCGCAUGGAAGGGCCAUCGCUCAACGGAUAAAAGCUACCCCGGGGAUAACAGGCUUAUCUCCCCCAAGAGUUCACAUCGACGGGGAGGUUUGGCACCUCGAUGUCGGCUCAUCGCAUCCUGGGGCUGUAGUCGGUCCCAAGGGUUGGGCUGUUCGCCCAUUAAAGCGGUACGCGAGCUGGGUUCAGAACGUCGUGAGACAGUUCGGUCCCUAUCCGUCGUGGGCGUAGGAAAUUUGAGAGGAGCUGUCCUUAGUACGAGAGGACCGGGAUGGACAUACCUCUGGUGUACCAGUUGUCGUGCCAACGGCAUAGCUGGGUAGCUAUGUGUGGACGGGAUAAGUGCUGAAAGCAUCUAAGCAUGAAGCCCCCUCAAGAUGAGAUUUCCCAACUUCGGUUAUAAGAUCCCUCAAAGAUGAUGAGGUUAAUAGGUUCGAGGUGGAAGCAUGGUGACAUGUGGAGCUGACGAAUACUAAUCGAUCGAAGACUUAAUCAA
rnacentral:rRNA from 1 species